rnacentral:rRNA from 1 species
AGUUUGAUCCUGGCUCAGGAUGAACAACUGGUUGCCCGCUUAAUGCUUGUCCGUCAAACCAAGCACUUGCAUGUAAUUCUUCGGAAGGAAGCUCCUGUGACUGAAUGGGGGACUGGUGAUUAAAGAUUGGGUAACCUGCCUCAUCCCGGGGGUAUAACAUUUCGAAAUGACUGCUAAUACCGCAUACCCACACAUGAUCGCAUGAUCGAUUGUGAAAAACUCCCGCGGUAUGACAUGGACCCGCCUCUGAUUAGUUGGUUGGGGGGGUAAUGGUCCACCAAAGCAACAAUCAGUAGCGGCCUUGAGAGGGUGAACGGCCACAUUGGGAUUGACACACGGCCCAAACUCCUACGGGAGGCACCAGUGGGGAAUAUUGCCCAAUGGGGGAAACCUUGAUGCAGGGACGCGGGGUGAAGGAUGAAGUAUUUGGGUAUGUAAAUUUUUUUCAGCAGGGAGGAAAAUGACGGUCCCUGAUUAAGAAGCCCGGGCUAAUUAGGUCCCAGCAGCCGCGGUAAUAGGUAGGGGGCAAGCUUUUUCCGGAUUUAUUGGGUGUAAAGGGAGGGUAGAGGGCAGUGCAAUUCUGAAGUGAAAGCCCGGGGUUCAACCCGGGGACUCCUUUGGAAACUGUGCAGUUAGAGUUUGGGAGAGGCAAGCGGAAUUCUUAGUGUAGCGGUGAAAUGGGUAGAUAUUAGGAGGACCCCCAGUGGGGAAGGCGGCCUUGCUGGACGAUGACUUACGUUGAGGUUUGAAAGCGUGGGGAGCAACCAUGAUUAGAUACCUUGGUAGUCCGCGCCGUAAAUGAUGACUUCUAGGUGUCGGGGAGCUAAGCUCUUCGGUGCCGCAGCCAACGCAAUAAGUAGUCCACCCGCGGGAGUACGUUCGCAAGAAUGAAACUCAAAGGAAUCGACGGGGUCCCGCUCAAGCGGUGGAGCAUUGUGUGUUUAAUUGGAAGCAACGCGAAGAACCUUACCUUCUAUCUGACAUCCCGUGUGUCGGGCAAGUAAUGUUGCCUUUCUUUCGGGACAUGAGGAGACAGGUGCGUGCAUGGUGGUUGUCAGCUCGUGUUGUGUGAUCGUAGGGUUAAGUUCCCGCAUCUGCAGCGUCAACCCCUAUUUUCUAGUAGCCAGGGGUAAGUCCGGCCCCUCUGGCGAGAUCACCAGGGAGUCCAUGUAGGAAGGCGGGGGUGAUGUCCAAUCAUCCUGCCCGUUCUGAGCUGGGCUACACACGUGGCACACAGGUGUAAACAAAGGGAAGCAGAGUGAGGCGGCCGACGCCAAUCCCAAAAAUACCGUCUCAGUUUGGAUCGUAGUGAUCAACUUGAGUACAAGAAGCUGGAAUCGCUAGUAAUCGCGAAUCAGAAUGUAGCGGUGAACCAGUUCCCGGCUCGAGCACACACCGCCCGUCA